UAGGGAAUCUUCCACAAUGGACGCAAGUCUGAUGGAGCAACGCCGCGUGAGUGAAGAAGGUCUUCGGAUCGUAAAGCUCUGUUGUUGGUGAAGAAGGAUAGAGGCAGUAACUGGUCUUUAUUUGACGGUAAUCAACCAGAAAGUCACGGCUAACUACGUGCCAGCAGCCGCGGUAAUACGUAGGUGGCAAGCGUUGUCCGGAUUUAUUGGGCGUAAAGCGAGCGCAGGCGGAAUGAUAAGUCUGAUGUGAAAGCCCACGGCUCAACCGUGGAACUGCAUCGGAAACUGUCAUUCUUGAGUGCAGAAGAGGAGAGUGGAACUCCAUGUGUAGCGGUGGAAUGCGUAGAUAUAUGGAAGAACACCAGUGGCGAAGGCGGCUCUCUGGUCUGCAACUGACGCUGAGGCUCGAAAGCAUGGGUAGCGAACAGGAUUAGAUACCCUGGUAGUCCAUGCCGUAAACGAUGAGCGCUAGGUGUUGGGGACUUUCCGGUCCUCAGUGCCGCAGCAAACGCUUAAGCGCUCCGCCUGGGGAGUACGACCGCAAGGUUGAA
rnacentral:rRNA from 1 species